GACGAACGCUGGCGGCGUGCCUAAUACAUGCAAGUCGAACGCAGUGGGGACGUGUGAGUAACAAGUGGGUAACCUCCCCAUCAGAGGGGAGAACACUUGGAAACAGGUGCUAAACCGAUACUGCUGGAUGGACCCGCGGUGCAUUAGCUAGUGGGUUGGGUAACGGCUCACCAAGGCCCCGAUGCAUAGCCGACCGGGGAGGGGGAUCGGCCACACUGGGACUGAGACACGGCCCAGACUCCUACGGGAGGCAGCAGUAGGGAAUCUUCGGCAAUGGACGAAAGUCUGACCGAGCAACGCCGCGUGAGUGAAGAAGGUUUUCGGAUCGUAAAACUCUGUUGUUAGAGAAGCGGUAUCUAACCAGAAAGCCACGGCUAACUACGUGCCAGCAGCCGCGGUAAUUC
rnacentral:rRNA from 1 species